UACGUAGGGCGCGAGCGUUGUCCGGAAUUAUUGGGCGUAAAGAGCUCGUAGGCGGCCCUCUUUGUCGCGUGUGAAAGCCCCGGGCUCAACCUGGGAAUUGCGCGCGAAACGGGGGGGCUGGAGUUCGGGAGAGGAGCGUGGAAUUCCCAGUGUAGAGGUGAAAUUCGUAGAUAUUGGGAAGAACACCGGUGGCGAAGGCGGCGACCUGGUCCGUUGACUGACGCUGAGGCGCGAAAGCGUGGGGAGCAAACAGG
rnacentral:rRNA from 1 species